rnacentral:misc_RNA from 1 species
AACGGUCUAUACCUGCGGUACCUGCGGAGGGAUCAUUCCAAAGAUUUUGUGAGGGGGAAAGGUGGAUGAUGUGAUAUAUAUAUGCAAUGUAAUCCUCCUCCUCCUCACAACUAACCCAAACCUGUGUGCAAAGACAUUUUGUCUCUGGAUUCAAAUGUCUCCAAAAAGCUCCUUUUUUAUUAUUAUAAAAUCUUACAUAAUAGAUAAUACAACUUUUAACAACGGAUCUCUAGAUCGGAA